rnacentral:rRNA from 1 species
UACGGGGGGGGCAAGCGUUGUUCGGAAUUACUGGGCGUAAAGGGCUCGUAGGCGGCCAACUAAGUCAGACGUGAAAUCCCUCGGCUCAACUGAGGACGUGCGGAAGAAACUGCAGGGCUGGAGUCCGGGAGAGGAGGGUGGAAUUCCCAGUGUAGCGGUGAAAUGCGUAGAUAUUGGGAGGAACACCGGUGGCGAAGGCGGCCCUCUGGACCGGUACUGACACUGAGGCACGAAGGCCAGGGGAGCAAACGGG